CUGGCCGAACUUCCGUUCCUCCAUCCUAUUGCACUGUGACCGCUGUGGCCAGGUCAGGCCCUAGAGGACGGAAUCACCCUAUAUGAUAACACCACACGGUGCGCUCUUUCCCAUUUCACAGAUGAGGUGGGAUGCCCCUUCAGGCUGUCUUGGACCAUGUUGAAAUGUACCCACAUGGAGUCAGUCACUUUAGGAUAUAAAAGCAGACUUCUGACAGUACACGUCAUCCCUAACCCUGCAAGCACAUCUCAGAGGCAGUUGGUCUUCCACUGUGAGACAGAAUGAAGAAGGGCUUCUUCCUACAGUUCAGUAGAGGAGCCAGUCCAGGAAGAACAAAGCCAGCCCCAGGGUAAAGGAUUUUUUCAAGAGCCUCCUCUGCCUAGGAUUCUUUUACGUGGUCACCCAUCAGGGAAGCCAGAGGUAUUAAGCUUCAGCCUUUCUUCAUAGUGGGCACCAUUUGAGGGAACAGCUGUGAAGUCUUACCUGCCUCACCUCUGGUCUUGACACACCUUAGAUGGGCUAAGGGUCAAAGAUGACUCCAAAGAUCUUAAGGAGACCAAGAAGGCCCAGGGAAGGUGGGGCCCACCUGCUUGCCUGAGUGACUUCUGUGCUCUAGACUGUUGUGGACCUCAGCCCCACUCACCCUGACCUUUAGAGAAAUGAAACUACCUUUGCAUGAGAGGAAGCAGCGGAAUUGCUUCAAGUGUGAUUGCAACCCCCCAGACACCACAAACUAGUCCUUCAUCACCAUCUGGAAGAAGAUCCCACAGGAAACAGCUGACGCUGAACUGUGCAAGAAUAUGCUGGGUCUGCGGAGAAGCUGAGACUCAGAGCUGGCAAACAGCAGGGCCAAAUGACAAUAGAGCCAACUCUCCCAUGAAACAGUAGCUUGCAGGCUCAGAUGUUUUUGAAAGGCAGGUAAAAGACCAUGUCUCUCUUU